rnacentral:rRNA from 1 species
CCUACGGGAGGCAGCAGUGAGGAAUAUUGGUCAAUGGGCGCGAGCCUGAACCAGCCAAGUAGCGUGAAGGAUGACUUCCCUACGGGUUGUAAACUUCUUUUAUAAAGGAAUAAAGUGAGGCACGUGUGCCUUUUUGUAAGUACUUUAUGAAUAAGGAUCGGCUAACUCCGUGCCAGCAGCCGCGGUAAUACGGAGGAUCCGAGCGUUAUCCGGAUUUAUUGGGUUUAAAGGGAGCGUAGAUGGGUUGUUAAGUCAGUUGUGAAAGUGUGCGGCUCAACCGUAAAAUUGCAAGUGAUACUGGCAGUCUAGAGUACAGUUGAGGUAGGCGGAAUGCGUGGUGUAGCGGUGAAAUGCUUAGAUAUCACGAAGAACACCGAUUGCGAAGGCAGCUUACUAAGCUGCCACUGACAUUGAGGCUCGAAAGUGUGGGUAUCAAACAGGAUUAGAUACCCUGGUAGUC